rnacentral:misc_RNA from 1 species
AACGCACAUUGCGCCCCUUGGUAUUCCAUGGGGCAUGCCUGUUCGAGCGUCAUCUACACCCUCAAGCUCUGCUUGGUGUUGGGCGUCUGUCCCGCCUCUGCGCGUGGACUCGCCCCAAAUUCAUUGGCAGCGGUCUUUGCCUCCUCUCGCGCAGCACAUUGCGCUUCUCGAGGUGCGCGGCCCGCGUCCACGAAGCAACAUUACCGUCUUUGACCUCGGAUCAGGUAGGGAUACCCGCUGAACUUAA